rnacentral:lncRNA from 1 species
ACAAGUGGUAGCCUUUGUGGUUUCAUAUUUUGGCACAAGGCCUGAAAUUGUUGGAGAAGAGAGAAGCCAGGAGAUAGAUAGAUAGACAGAAAGGCAGGCAGGCAGAUAGAUAGAUAGGACUGGCAGGUAGGCAGAUAGAUAGGACUGAUAGAGAGGCAGGCAGGCAGAUAGAUAGAUCAGACAGACAUGUAGAUAGAUAGAUAGCACUGAUAGGCAGGCAGGCAGAUAGAUAGAUAGACAGGCAGGCAGAUAGAUAGGACUGAUAGACAGUUUUGAAUACAAGAUAAAUUCAAAACAAUGUGAAUAAAUAAGCAUUAUAUUUGACAGAGU